rnacentral:tRNA from 1 species
AAGAACUUAGUUAAAGAUAAAAUAUAGGCCUGUCAGACCUAAGAUGCGCAAAGCAUUUCUUU